GAUGAACGCUGGCGGCGUGCUUAACACAUGCAAGUCGAACGGAAAGGCCCUGCUUUUGUGGGGUGCUCGAGUGGCGAACGGGUGAGUAACACGUGAGUAACCUGCCCUUGACUUGGGAUAACUUCAGGAAACUGGGGCUAAUACCGGAUAGGAGCUCCUGCUGCCUGGUGGGGGUUGGAAAGUUUCGGCGGUUGGGGAUUGACUCGCGGCUUAUCAGCUUGUUGGUGGGGUAGUGGCUUACCAAGGCUUUGACGGGUAGCCGGCCUGAGAGGGUGACCGGCCACAUUGGGACUGAGAUACGGCCCAGACUCCUACGGGAGGCAGCAGUGGGGAAUAUUGCACAAUGGGCGGAAGCCUGAUGCAGCAACGCCGCGUGCGGGAUGACGGCCUUCGGGUUGUAAACCGCUUUCGCCUGUGACGAAGCGUGAGUGACGGUAAUGGGUAAAGAAGCACCGGCUAACUACGUG
rnacentral:rRNA from 1 species